rnacentral:misc_RNA from 1 species
GUUUUUCCUUCUCUCUUGUUCUGUUGAUCUCUGAAAGGUGCAAUGUUUUGAUCUGAAUUUUGGAGUUUGUUUAGUUCUAUGAUGUGGGUUUUGAAAUUAGACCAAGAAUUUUUUAGUUUGGUGUUAGAUCCAAGCUGUUUGAUAUCUCUUCCCACCUGUAAUCAACGGUGAGAUCUGGGUAGUUCAUAUGGUUGUUCUGUUAGAUGAUAAGAUUUGAUUUCAUUUUUAAUCGACUUUGAUAGUUAAUAUCAAAUUUGAUUACUCUAAUCU